rnacentral:rRNA from 1 species
UACAGGGGGUGCAAACGUUGCUCGGAAUCAUUGGGCGUAAAGCGCACGUAGGCGGUUCGUUAUGUCGGAUGUGAAAGCCCUUGGCUUAACCGAGGAAGUGCAUCCGAAACUGGCGAGCUAGAGUACUAAAGAGGAUCGCGGAAUUCCCGGUGUAGAGGUGAAAUUCGUAGAUAUCGGGAAGAACACCAAAGGCGAAGGCAGUGUCCUGGGUGGUCGCUGACGCUGAGAGGCGAAAGCCAGGGGAGCGAACGGG